GUUAGGCUAUCUUUCAUCAGACCACUUAGAUAUCAAACAAAGACAACAAGUCUGCCAACUGCUUCCAACACAGCACCUGCCUCUCCGGCAGCUAAAUAAAUAUCCCAUAAGCGCCAACUCUAUCCCUGUCAUCCCAGCAGAGUGACAGAGCAGAGUGAAUAGAAGAGCUGGAUAGAGCACUGUGUCUCACGUUGGCUUUUCAUCCAUAUUGCAUAGGGCAGGAGCAGAAGAGAGGAGACGAGGGCAGAGGAGACGUGGUCCAGGAACAGAGGAAAGAAGGGACUGAGGCACAGCAGAGAGCUGAGCUAGAGACAGACCUAUUGGAGCAGAAGAACCCAACACCUCAGUGACACUGACUCCGAAUAGGAGCCCCCAGUGCCAAGGUGUCCAUCCCCCACUGAAGCUGGUUCAUCCAGCCGGACACCUGUUGUACUGUUCUACUGGGGCAUGGACCGCAAAAAAUGUCCCCAUUCCAGCUGCAA
rnacentral:lncRNA from 1 species